UACAGAGGUCCCAAGCGUUGUUCGGAUUCACUGGGCGUAAAGGGUGCGUAGGUGGUCGCAUAAGUCUGAUGUGAAAUCUCCGAGCUCAACUCGGAAAUGGCAUUGGAAACUAUGCGACUAGAGAGUUGGAGGGGGGACUGGAAUACUUGGUGUAGCAGUGAAAUGCGUAGAUAUCGGGAGGAAUACCUAUGGCGAAAGCAGGCUACUGGACCAUCACUGACUCUGAUCUGCGAAAGCUAGGGGAGCAAACAGG
rnacentral:rRNA from 1 species